rnacentral:rRNA from 1 species
AUUCCCCUAGUAACUGCGAGUGAAGAGGGAAAAGCUCAAAUUUAAAAUCUGGCAGCUUUUCGCUGUCCGAGUUGUAAAUUAGAGAAGUGUUACCCGUGUUGGACCGUGUACAAGUCUCCUGGAAUGGAGCGUCAUAGAGGGUGNGAAUCCCGUCUUUGACACGGACUACCAAUGCAUUGUGGUGCACUCUCAAAGAGUCGUGUUGUUUGGGAAUGCAGCACUAAAUGGGUGGUAAAUUCCAUCUAAAGCUAAAUAUUGGCGAGAGACCGAUAGCGAACAAGUACCGUGAGGGAAAGAUGAAAAGAACUUUGGAAAGAGAGUUAAACAGUACGUGAAAUUGUUGAAAGGGAAACGCUUGAAGUCCAGUCGCGUUGGUUGGAAAUCAGUCUUGCUUUAUUGCUUGAUGUACUUUCUAACUAAUGGGUCAACAUCAGUGUUGACCGUUGGAUAAAGGUUGAGGGAAUGUGGCACCUUCGGGUGUGUUAUAGCCCUUGAUUGUAUACAACGGUUGGUACUGAGGCCUCACGUCGCAAGACG